UACGUAGGUGGCAAGCGUUGUCCGGAUUUACUGGGCGUAAAGAGCGCGCAGGCGGUCGUGCAAGUCGCGUGUGAAAGCCCGAGGCUCAACUUCGGGUCGGCCACUGAUACUGCUAGGCUUGAGUCGACUAGAGGCAGAUGGAAUUCCGGGUGUAGCGGUGGAAUGCAUAGAGAUCCGGAAGAACACCGGUGGCGAAGGCGGUCUGCUGGGGUCGAACUGACGCUGAGGCGCGACAGCGUGGGGAGCAAACAGG
rnacentral:rRNA from 1 species